GUGUUAGACCAAAUGGGGACGGG
rnacentral:piRNA from 1 species